rnacentral:rRNA from 1 species
CAGCCGCCACGGUAAUACGUAGGUGGCAAGCGUUGUCCGGAAUUAUUGGGCGUAAAGCGCGCGCAGGCGGAUAGGUCAGUCUGUCUUAAAAGUUCGGGGCUUAACCCCGUGAUGGGAUGGAAACUGCCAAUCUAGAGUAUCGGAGAGGAAAGUGGAAUUCCUAGUGUAGCGGUGAAAUGCGUAGAUAUUAGGAAGAACACCAGUGGCGAAGGCGACUUUCUGGACGAAAACUGACGCUGAGGCGCGAAAGCCAGGGGAGCGAACGGGAUUAGAUACCCGUGUAGUCCCUGUCUCUUAUACA